UGGGGCGCGGGUGCCCGCGGCUUCGCUGGGACUUGCGCGGCGGUGGGAGACAUGUCGGAUUGGGUGUCCUACUACCGGGGCGAGGGGCCGCAGGAGGACGAGGAGGAGGAGCAGGACGAGGAGAGGGCUGAGGCGGUCGCGGAUUACAGGUUCUUAGGUCGGGACAGCCUCGUUUUCUUAGUGGAUGCGUCCAAGGGCAUGUUUGAGCCCGACGGGGACGGCGCGACUCCCUUUGACAUGGCCAUCCAGUGCAUCUGGAGUGUGUACACCAGCAAAAUCAUUAGUAGUGACAGGGACCUGUUGGGUGUGGUGUUCUAUGGUACGGAAGAGAACAAGAACUCAGCAGAUUUCAAGCACGUCUAUGUUCUUCAGGAGCUGGACAAUCCAGGUGCAAAGCGUGUCCUAGAGCUGGACCAAUACAGGGGAGACAAAGGACAAGUCCUUUUCCGUGACACCUUUGGCCACAAUGCUGACUAUUCACUGGGUGAAGCACUCUGGGCCUGCUCUAAUCUCUUCAGUGAUGUCCGAGUCAGACUGAGCCACAAAAGGAUCAUGCUCUUCACCAACGAGGAUGACCCUCAUGCCAAUGACAGUGUUAAAGCCAAGAUGGCCAGGACCAGAGCUGGUGAUCUGAGAGACACAGGUAUCAUCCUGGACUUGAUGCACUUGAAGAAGCCUGGAGGGUUUGAUAUCUCUUUGUUCUACAGGGAUAUAGUAAACAUAGCAGAGGAUGAGGACCUUGGAAUCCAACCUGAGCAGUCAGAGAAACUGGAACAUCUCAUGAAGAAAGUGCGAGCAAAGGAGACAAAGAAACGGACUUUAGCCAGGUUAAAUCUGUAUCUGAACAAAGAUCUGUCGCUUUCUGUCGGUGUUUACAACCUUCUUCACAAAGCUUAUAAGCCCUAUCCGGUGAAGCUUUAUCGGGAAACUAAUGAACUGGUUAAAAUAAAAACAAGGAUGUUUAAUGCGCAAACAGGCAGCUUGCUCCUGCCUAGUGACACAAAAAGGGCUCAGACAUAUGGAAACCGCCAGAUUGUGCUGGAGAAAGAGGAAACAGAAGAAUUGAGACGCUUUGGUUCUGCAGGCUUGUAUCUGAUUGGCUUCAAACCACUGUCAGUGCUAAAACAGCACCACCAUAUCAGGCCCUCCCAGUUCAUCUAUCCUGAGGAGUCCCUAAUAAGUGGGAGUACAACGCUAUUUAAUGCCUUAUUGAUGAAAUGCCUGGAGAGGGAAAUGAUGAUACUGUGCAGAUAUACUGCCCGGCAGAACACCCCUCCUCGCUUUGUGGCCCUGGUUCCCCAGGAGGAAGAGGUGGAUGAGCAGAAAGUGCAGAUAGCUCCUCCAGGCUUCCACAUCAUCUUCCUGCCAUAUGCAGAUGACAAGCGAAAGGUUGAUUUUACAGAAAAGUUGCCAGCCAGUCGAGAGCAGGUGGACAAAAUGAAGGAAAUAGUUCAAAAACUCCGUUUCAAAUACAGGAUUGACAGCUUUGAGAACCCCGUUUUGCAACAGCACUUCAGGAAUCUGGAGGCUUUGGCGCUGGGUUUGCUCGAACCAGAACAAGCUGAGGAUCUUACAAGUGAGAAUUGUUGUGCCAAAGGUUGAAGAGAUGAAUCGCAGGUUGGGCAACCUGGUGGAGGAAUUUAAGCAGCUGGUUUAUCCCCCUGACUACAAUCCCAAUGGGAAGUCUGUAAAGCAAAACCAAGCUUCUGAUGGUCCAGCGAAGAAGAGGGUCAAGGUAGAAAUCUCAAAAGAUGAGCUGCGGAGUCAUGUACAGAAGGGCACUCUGGGCAAGCUCACUGUACCUGUUCUGAAGGAUGCAUGCAGGCUUUAUGGGCUGAAGGGUGGGGGGAAGAAGCAGGAGCUCAUGGAUGCGUUAACUGAAUACUUUAACGAGCACUGAGCAGGAGUGGAAGGCCCUGGUUGACUGCAAUCUGCUUAAAAUUGUGGUUGUCUUAUGUGGAUGCUUAUGUGUCUAUUUAAUCUUGCUGUGGAGAAGGCGACUAAAUGUUGCUGAAUCAGGCAGUGGAGAAAUUUUUUACUCUUACUUGUGAAACAUCUCUGCAAAGUUGGAUUCUGUUCACAGUAGCCAAAGGCAGAAUUAAAGUCCCUGCUAACUCAGGUCACCCACUGCAAGUGAACACAGUUGUGCCUUCCUUGUUUCUUAAUAAAAGUUAUUUUGGACUUCUUACUUUGCAA